AACGAACGCUGGCGGCAUGCCUAACACAUGCAAGUCGAACGAGACCUUCGGGUCUAGUGGCGCACGGGUGCGUAACGCGUGGGAACCUGCCUUUAGGUUCGGAAUAACUCAGAGAAAUUUGAGCUAAUACCGGAUGAUGUCUUCGGACCAAAGAUUUAUCGCCUUUAGAUGGGCCCGCGUUGGAUUAGCUAGUAGGUGGGGUAAAGGCCUACCAAGGCGACGAUCCAUAGCUGGUCUGAGAGGAUGAUCAGCCACACUGGGACUGAGACACGGCCCAGACUCCUACGGGAGGCAGCAGUGGGGAAUAUUGGACAAUGGGCGAAAGCCUGAUCCAGCAAUGCCGCGUGAGUGAUGAAGGCCUUAGGGUUGUAAAGCUCUUUUACCCGAGAUGAUAAUGACAGUAUCGGGAGAAUAAGCUCCGGCUAACUCCGU
rnacentral:rRNA from 1 species